rnacentral:rRNA from 1 species
AACGUAGGUUCCGAGCGUUAUCCGGAUUUACUGGGCGUAAAGAGCUCGUAGGUGGUUUGUCGCGUUGUUCGUGAAAACCGGGGGCUUAACCCUCGGCGUGCGGGCGAUACGGGCAGACUUGAGUACUGCAGGGGAGACUGGAAUUCCUGGUGUAGCGGUGGAAUGCGCAGAUAUCAGGAGGAACACCGGUGGCGAAGGCGGGUCUCUGGGCAGUAACUGACGCUGAGGAGCGAAAGCGUGGGGAGCGAACAGG